GACGAACCGUGCGAACGUUAUUCGGAAUCAUUGGGCGUAAAGGGCGCGUAGGCGGCUCAUGAAGGCUGUGGUGAAAGUCCGGGGCUCAACCUCGGAUCGGCCGUGGCGACUCGUGGGCUGGAGCACUGUAGAGGCGGGUGGAAUUCCGGGUGUAGCGGUGGAAUGCGUAGAGAUCCGGAAGAACACCAGUGGCGAAGGCGGCCCGCUGGGCAGUGGCUGACGCUGAGGCGCGACAGCGUGGGGAGCAAACAGG
rnacentral:rRNA from 1 species